rnacentral:rRNA from 1 species
CACGUAGGGCGCGAGCGUUGUCCGGCAUUAUUGGGCGUACAGACCUCGUAGGCGGCCUGUUGCGUCCGCUGUGAAAGCCCGGGGCUUAACCCCGGGUCGGCAGUGGAUACGGGCAGGCUAGAGGUAGGUAGGGGAGAAUGGAAUUCCCGGUGUAGCGGUGAAAUGCGCAGAUAUCGGGAGGAACACCGGUGGCGAAGGCGGUUCUCUGGGCCUUACCUGACGCUGAGGAGCGAAAGCGUGGGGAGCGAACAGG